UAUAGGAUGUCACUAAUAGUCCUGCUUUUGAUUUAACCUUAGUCAUGAAUUCAUUUACUGGAGUAACAUUAUCUAAUAGUCAGGCCCAAAGUAAAAAGGACUCAAGAAAGCAGUUCCUAAGAGGAUUCCACUUAUUUGCAUGGGAUUACUACAACCAUCUUCCUCAUCCAGAUGUUGUGAGAACAAAUGAGAUAAUAUCUGUGGAGCAUUUUAAUCUUAAAAAGAAAUAUUCAUACACAUGAAAAAUAAAGCAAUUUAUUUCCUGACAUUCCAAUAUGCCAUUUAUAUACCUUUUACUAAUAAUUAUAUUAAGGAAGGUCAAUUUUUGUGCAUUUCUCAUAAGUCAUGGGAAAUCUAGAUGCUUAAGGCAUUUAUCCAAGAGAUUCCAACUCGGAAUUUGAGAAUGUUUAGGAAUAAAGGAGUUGAGUAAAUUUCAGGAAUUUUGUACUUCCUUUACUCUCUAGUCUUUAACUGUUGUCAUAGCCCACGGAACGUCAGAAAGCAAGGAAGCCCCUUUUAAGUCACCGGAUCCAAACUGUUUAUUUUAUAGAGAAGAUAGCAGCACCCAGAAAGUCAUGUACCAAAGUCCUUCAAGCUUGUCCGUGGUUGAUGCCAGCCUGAUGCCAGCUUCCUCUACUUUCACCCCAGGGAGUGUUCAGUCAUACCCCAUUGCUUCUCAUGUGCCAUUUUCUAUUAUUCUCCUCUAAUUUCCCAAGGUCAGGCUGCUAACCAGGAAGGGAGAGUAAAAUGCUAAGAUCAAGAUCUCACCAAGCAAAACCCCGCAUAGUUUUGCCCUACUACUUCCAGAUCUUGGUCUUCUGAUGAGAAAUAACCACUCUUGUUGAAAGUAUUCAAAUACGCAUCUGGAAAGAAUUCAGGUCAACAUGGUCAACAUUUUAAAACCUUGGCUAACUUCGACACCAGCCCUUCGGAAUGCUCAGCAAGCUGGAACAACACUGGAUCCAGAACCAGCCUUCUUCCGGAACAUAUCUAUCCACAGAAGACAAACUGUACAAGAGAAACCUCCACCAUCCAGGCUUCUGCUGUGCAGGUGUGUGGUGGUCUGCUGCUUAGAGAGACAUGGAAUUUUCAGGAAAGUUUUUCAACACCCUCCUGGAACCAGUAAUUACAAAGAUAUACUCCCAGGAAGAGGAGUGUCAUCCAACUCUGCGUCACCAAAGUAUCCAAAACUCAGCCUUGAAUCAGAGAUGACUCCCUCCAUGACGACAGCUAUCAGUUUAAGAAAUAUUUUAAUUAUUGACGUUUCCAUCUUUAGGGAAAUCCAGGAUCACUCAGUUCAAACUGACAGUGCCUAUUGCUGA
rnacentral:lncRNA from 1 species